GACGAACGCUGGCGGCGUGCUUAACACAUGCAAGUCGAACGGGAAGGCCCGUCUUUUGUGGGGUACGCGAGUGUCGAACGGAUGAAUAACACGUUGGUAACCUGCCCUUGGCUUUGGGCUAACUUCAAGAAACUGGGGCUAGUACCGGAUAGGGGCUCCUGCGGCAGGGGAGGGGUUGGAAUGUGUCGGCGGUGUGGGAUGGACUCGCGGCUUAUCAGCCUGUGGGUGGGGUAGUGUCUGACCAGGGCUUUGACGGGUAGGCGGCCUGGGAGGGUGACCGGCCACAUUGGGAGUGCGAUAAGGCCCCGACUACUACGGGAGGAAGCAGCGGGGAAUAUUGCACCAUGGGCGGAAGCCUCCUGACGCAACGCCGCCUGCGGGAUGACGGCCUUCGGCUUGUCAACCGCUUUUGCCUGCGAAGAAGAGUCAGUGACGGUAACGGGUAAAGAAGCACCGGCUAACUCCGUG
rnacentral:rRNA from 1 species